AGCGUGCUUAACACAUGCAAGUCGAACGGAAAGGCCCUGCUUGCAGGAUACUCGAGUGGCGAACGGGUGAGUAACACGUGGGUGAUCUGCCCUGCACUUCGGGAUAAGCUUGGGAAACUGGGUCUAAUACCGGAUAGGAACCAUCUUUAGUGUGGUGGUUGGAAGGUUUUUUCGGUGUAGGAUGAGCUCGCGGCCUAUCAGCUUGUUGGUGGGGUAAUGGCCUACCAAGGCGGCGACGGGUAGCCGGCCUGAGAGGGUGUACGGCCACAUUGGGACUGAGAUACGGCCCAGACUCCUACGGGAGGCAGCAGUGGGGAAUAUUGCACAAUGGGCGCAAGCCUGAUGCAGCGACGCCGCGUGGGGGAUGAAGGCCUUCGGGUUGUAAACUCCUUUCGCUAGGGACGAAGCUUUUUGUGACGGUACCUAGAUAAGAAGCACCGGCUAACUACGUGCCAGCAGCCGCGGUAAUACGUAGGGUGCGAGCGUUGUCCGGAAUUACUGGGCGUAAAGGGCCCGUAGGUGGUUUGUCGCGUCGUCUGUGAAAUUCUGGGGCUUAACUCCGGGCGUGCAGGCGAUACGGGCAUAACUUGAGUGCUGUAGGGGUAACUGGAAUUCCUGGUGUAGCGGUGAAAUGCGCAGAUAUCAGGAGGAACACCGAUGGCGAGGGCAGGUUACUGGGCAGUUACUGACGCUGAGGAGCGAAAGCAUGGGUAGCGAACAGGAUUA
rnacentral:rRNA from 1 species